AUAAAAAAUCCAACAGGUAAUUUCUCUAAAAUUUAGAUAUAUUAUUUAAGUUUAUUUAUUGAAAAUAAAUAAGUAUUUAACUAACUAAUUAUAUUUUUAUUAUACCCUCAAUAUUUCUGGUGAAUUCUAAUAGAAAUAUUUGAUAAUUAUUUACUUGUACUGAUCUGUUUUAGAAACUAAAAUUAUUAAGUAUUUCCUACCGAUUUUCCUAAAUAAAAUUAACGACAGUUUAAAUAAAUUGAGUAAAUUUCGCGGCUAAAGUGAUCACGUGUGCAGCUCUGCAGAAAACAAAGACAAUCUGCUUUCCUCAGCCAUGACGUCGACUAGCUAUACUCCUCGCAACUCCUGGUAAGUAACGUUAGUCAGCUAAUCCUAUUUACGUUUGUAACACUUUAUUAAAAAGUUAAUAAUUAUUAAGCAUUUCCUAUCAAUUUUCUUUGUAUUUUACGUCAUCUUAAACAAGUUUCGCGGCUUAAUUGAAGCCACCUGAAGGAUGGCUUUCCUCAGCAACGGCAAGGCCCGCACUCCUCGCAUAUCCUGUUGAACGAGUUUCGCGGCUCAAGCAAGAGGCACCUGUCACUGAAGGACUGCUUUCCUCAGCAACGACGUGAACAGCAUUACUCGAAUAUCCUGAUUCAGCUGAUCUACCCAUCUUUGUACAAGCGGAGUUGGCAGAGGAGGUCAUAAAAAAUCUACAUCCUUCGGGACAAUGAUGGGGCAGUCAGCGAUGUAGGAGUUGUGAUUGAGGGCAUCACUGUCCUCAGCAAUCUUGGGAAUCUCAGCAGAGUCUGCUGCUAUCUUUUGGGACUCACUUACGCAUUGGAUUUGAGAUAUCCCA